rnacentral:misc_RNA from 1 species
GUGAAUCAUCAAAUCUUUGAACGCAAAUUGCACUCUCUUCGGAGAGUAUGGCUGUUUGUGGGUCAGCCUAAUAAAAAUCGACGAAGUCGAUGUUUCGCGGUGACAUUCGCCGGUAAUUGGGUCUUCUUAAACCUUUGGGUUUUUUAAGAGGACUAAAAUUUUCUUUACGGAUUCAUGAACGUUUCUAAGAUUUUACUUCUUACACUCGUUUAAGGUACUGAUCUUUAUUAGACGUGGCCGUUGCAUCGGAUCGCGUCGAUAUAUAGUUUGUUAACUGACCUCAUACAGGUAAGA